GCGGUCGAGUGGCGGUGGUUGAG
rnacentral:siRNA from 1 species